CUUUUUUACCACUGCCUAGAAGUGCUUCUCUGCGCCCAAGCCAUUACGAUCUGUUUGGUUCAUCUCGUGAUUCCAUGACGCCAUGGAAAGAGUAAACCGGAUAAUACAGCGCGAAACAAGGUGUAUUUCCGGAAAAUCCGAUCCACCAACACGCAAAGGGACCCACAACGUUAAGGAAAAAACGGGCAAAAUCGACCAUGAAAACAACUCAGCCCAACGAACAUCUCAACUGAGCGAAGAGGUCGACCGAACAAAAGUCUUAACCCUUCUGAUACGGAAAUACAAUCCAUUGAAAAAGUACGCAUUUGUCGAAAAAUUCGGAAGCAUGUGUCCAUGGAGUGUUGAAAAAAAAUCGAUAUAAUCGAGAAAUUAUUGUAAGUACGAUAAAUUUACUGCGCUGUUUUCCACCUAAAAUGUAUGCAAAUACAAAAUAAUUUUUUGUUGCCA